rnacentral:rRNA from 1 species
UUGUCUCAAAGAUUAAGCCAUGCAUGUCUCAGUACAAGCCAAAUUAAGGUGAAACCGCGAAAGGCUCAUUAAAUCAGUUAUGGUUCCUUAGAUCGUACCAAAGUUACUUGGAUAACUGUGGUAAUUCUAGAGCUAAUACAUGCAAAUAGAACUCCAACCGGAGACGGAAGGAGUGCUUUUAUUAGAUCAAAACCAAUCGGUGAUAAGUCUAACUUGUCAUCGUACAAUUUGGUGACUCUGAAUAACUUUAUGCUGAUCGCACGGUCUUGAACCGGCGACGCAUCUUUCAAAUGUCUGCCUUAUCAACUGUCGAUGGUAGGUUCUGCGCCUACCAUGGUUGUAACGGGUAACGGGGAAUCAGGGUUCGAUUCCGGAGAGGGAGCCUGAGAAACGGCUACCACAUCCAAGGAAGGCAGCAGGCGCGCAAAUUACCCACUCCCGGCACGGGGAGGUAGUGACGAAAAAUAACGAUACGGGACUCAUCCGAGGCCCCGUAAUCGGAAUGAGUACACUCUAAAUCCUUUAACGAGGAUCAAUUGGAGGGCAAGUCUGGUGCCAGCAGCCGCGGUAAUUCCAGCUCCAAUAGCGUAUAUUAAAGUUGUUGCGGUUAAAAAGCUCGUAGUCGAAUUUGUGUCUCGCGCCGUUGGUUCAUCGUUCGCGGUGUUAACUGACGUGCCGCGAGACGUCCUGCCGGUGGACUUAGCCUGCAUGCAUUCUGUGUGUGUUUGGUGAUGUCCAAAUCAAUCCCGCCACGGUGUCUUUAAUCGGGUGCCGAGGUAGGCCGGCACGUUUACUUUGAACAAAUUAGAGUGCUUAAAGCAGGCUAAAAUUUUGCCUGAAUACUGUGUGCAUGGAAUAAUGGAAUAGGACCUCGGUUCUAUUUUGUUGGUUUUCGGAACCCCGAGGUAAUGAUUAAUAGGAACGGAUGGGGGCAUUCGUAUUGCGACGUUAGAGGUGAAAUUCUUGGAUCGUCGCAAGACGGACAGAAGCGAAAGCAUUUGCCAAAAACGUUUUCAUUGAUCAAGAACGAAAGUUAGAGGUUCGAAGGCGAUCAGAUACCGCCCUAGUUCUAACCAUAAACGAUGCCAGCUAGCGAUCCGCCGACGUUCCUCCGAUGACUCGGCGGGCAGCUUCCGGGAAACCAAAGCUUUUGGGUUCCGGGGGAAGUAUGGUUGCAAAGCUGAAACUUAAAGGAAUUGACGGAAGGGCACCACCAGGAGUGGAGCCUGCGGCUUAAUUUGACUCAACACGGGAAACCUCACCAGGCCCAGACACCGGAAGGAUUGACAGAUUGAGAGCUCUUUCUUGAUUCGGUGGGUGGUGGUGCAUGGCCGUUCUUAGUUGGUGGAGCGAUUUGUCUGGUUAAUUCCGAUAACGAACGAGACUCUAGCCUGCUAACUAGGCGUAUUUUGACAUCUUAAAGGCUCGCUGGCAUUGGUCAUUCAUUGGUCUUUGUUAUGCGUGGUUUUUACUGUCAGCGUACAAACAUAUCUUCUUAGAGGGACAGGCGGCUUCUAGCCGCACGAGAUUGAGCAAUAACAGGUCUGUGAUGCCCUUAGAUGUUCUGGGCCGCACGCGCGCUACACUGAAGGAAUCAGCGUGUCCUCCCUGGCCGAGCGGCCCGGGUAACCCGCUGAACCUCCUUCGUGCUAGGGAUUGGGGCUUGCAAUUGUUCCCCAUGAACGAGGAAUUCCCAGUAAGCGCGAGUCAUAAGCUCGCGUUGAUUACGUCCCUGCCCUUUGUACACACCGCCCGUCGCUACUACCGAUUGAAUGAUUUAGUGAGGUCUUCGGACUGGUGCGCGGUAGCGUUUCGACGUCACCGAUGUUGCUGGGAAGAUGACCAAACUUGAUCAUUU